GACGAACGCUGGCGGCGUGCUUAACACAUGCAAGUCGAGCGGUAAGGCCCUUUCGGGGUACACGAGCGGCGAACGGGUGAGUAACACGUGGGUGACCUGCCCUCAGCUCUGGGAUAAGCCUGGGAAACCGGGUCUAAUACUGGAUAUGACUCCAUGACGCAUGUUGUGGGGUGGAAAGCCUUGUGCGGCUGAGGAUGGGCCCGCGGCCUAUCAGCUUGUUGGUGGGGUGAUGGCCUACCAAGGCGACGACGGGUAGCCGGCCUGAGAGGGCGACCGGCCACACUGGGACUGAGACACGGCCCAGACUCCUACGGGAGGCAGCAGUGGGGAAUCUUGCGCAAUGGGCGAAAGCCUGACGCAGCGACGCCGCGUGAGGGAUGACGGCCUGGUGU
rnacentral:rRNA from 1 species